rnacentral:lncRNA from 1 species
GUUGUUUUUCACAUUGAACAUCAGUGACAGGUCUUCCGCGCUCGUUACUAAUGAUUGGUCAUCAGUGACGGGUCCUGCACGUGACCGUCACUAAUGAUGUGUCAUCAGUGACGGGCAAAAAAGGCCCGUCACUGAUGACUCGUCACAUAUACACUGUUUUGUAGUAGUGUGCACAAACAAAAGGGACAUUGGCACAACUACCAGGGAGGAACAAAACACAGUGCUAGAAGGAAAGAAAAGAAAAUGUACACCGCGUGCCACAGAAAAAUGUAAUUGAAAAUAGGCAAACAAAAAAGAGAAUAACUCUUGAAAACAAAACUAAAGUUUACAAUCCUAAAGGGAAGGAGUCCUCCAAGAUGGCCCCGCAAGAGUAAUCUGAAAGCAGAAGGCAUGGAAGUUUAUGGAGGUGUUGGCCAAUUGAUUUUGUUUAGUUUUCCUCACCGUGUCUAUGCCAAAAAGAAACGUUGCAGUAGUUCCGUGGCCUUUUCAGUGAGUGCACAUCGCACCGGUCAAAUUAAACUGUUUUCUGUUUUCGUAAUAAUUUUACAGACCCACGCACCGUCCGGCCCCGCUAGAAUAUAUAAACACGAGGCGUGUUAUGCGUGGAGAGCGAUUGAUCGCAUCUGAUGAUAAGCCAACGUGGCACAUCAUUCCACAUACGGAGCAAGGAUAGAAUAUACCAUUAGCACCGGUAAAACUCUUGAUCAUUCAGAUCUUAACUUAACUUAUAGAUCAAACAUCCCCACCAAAUACAACCUUUUCCCCCUUGUAAUUAUUCAUUUCUUUCUUCUUAAUGAAAAGGCAGCCCUCCUUCCCGUUCCUAAAAAAAAAAAACCGCUCGACCAGUGGUUGUGGUUAGAGGCUCUAAUAGCACUUCUUUGAUUGUAGGUUCGAUUUCUUUGGGAGGCGAAUUUCAGGCCAGAGGUUAAAAAAAUCACCUCGUCUGUCCCGUACCAAAACACAUGUCUAAGGCCGGUUUUGUCUCACGUGGGCUGCGGUGCUGUUGUGUAUGGGUGGUGCAUGAG